UACGGAGGGUGCAAGCGUUAUCCGGAUUCACUGGGUUUAAAGGGUGCGUAGGAGGGCAGGUAAGUCAGUGGUGAAAUCUCCAAGCUUAACUUGGAAACUGCCGUUGAUACUAUCUGUCUUGAAUAUUGUGGAGGUGAGCGGAAUAUGUCAUGUAGCGGUGAAAUGCUUAGAUAUGACAUAGAACACCAAUUGCGAAGGCAGCUCACUAGUCAAUCAUUGACGCUGAGGCACGAAAGCGUGGGGAGCAAACAGG
rnacentral:rRNA from 1 species